rnacentral:tRNA from 1 species
GGUGAGAUGGCUGAGUGGUCGAAAGCACCGGUCUUGAAAACCGGCGUAUCCGCAAGGAUACCGGGGGUUCGAAUCCCUCUCUCACCGCCA